GCACUUGUCGUCUAAUGGCAGGACAGUUGCUUCUCACGCAGCAGACGAGGGAUCGAUACCCUUCAGGUGUUCCA
rnacentral:tRNA from 1 species